rnacentral:rRNA from 1 species
AUGCAAGUCGAACGCUUCUUCCUCCCGAGUGCUUGCACUCAAUUGGAAAGAGGAGUGGCGGACGGGUGAGUAACACGUGGGUAACCUACCCAUCAGAGGGGGAUAACACUUGGAAACAGGUGCUAAUACCGCAUAACAGUUUAUGCCGCAUGGCAUAAGAGUGAAAGGCGCUUUCGGGUGUCGCUGAUGGAUGGACCCGCGGUGCAUUAGCUAGUUGGUGAGGUAACGGCUCACCAAUGCCGCGAUGCAUAGCCGACCUGAGAGGGUGAUCGGCCACACUGGGACUGAGACACGGCCCAGACUCCUACGGGAGGCAGCAGUAGGGAAUCUUCGGCAAUGGACGAAAGUCUGACCGAGCAACGCCGCGUGAGUGAAGAAGGUUUUCGGAUCGUAAAACUCUGUUGUUAGAGAAGAACAAGGACGUUAGUAACUGAACGUCCCCUGACGGUAUCUAACCAGAAAGCCACGGCUAACUACGUGCCA